CCCUUUCCCGGCAGGCCCCGCUCGGGUCCGCGGCGCUCAGGCUCUCAGCAGUCCCGGAGGGGCUGCCAGGCUCGCCCGCUAGCCUGGUCCGGCAAGCUCCACCCCCACCACCGAGGCCACGCCCUCCCAGGCAGUUCGCUGGGUACCUGCCGUCCGCGAACAUACUAAGGCGACCCCCAACAGCCGCCCUCUGACAACCCAUGGACCCGAGACUCCCGCAGCCGCCCCCUUGAGAAGCAACCAGGAAAGGACAUCAAAGGCCACAGACCAGACCCCUCAAGGGUCUGCCGAUAAAGCCUUACAACAGACUACAGAGUCGAGGUGCUGGAAGACGGAGUGUUACCCCUAAACCCAUGACCUACCACCAAGUCUAAUCCCCACCCAGGGCCUCCCUCCCACCACUCUGGUCCCACCGAUCCUAUAGAUCAUCAAUAAAUAAUCCAAUUGUCUGCGUUA